rnacentral:rRNA from 2 species
UUUUGAGUUUUUUUAUCUGCUCAGGACGAACGCUGGCGGCGUGCCUAAUACAUGCAAGUCGAGCGGACAGAUGGGAGCUUGCUCCCUGAUGUUAGCGGCGGACGGGUGAGUAACACGUGGGUAACCUGCCUGUAAGACUGGGAUAACUCCGGGAAACCGGGGCUAAUACCGGAUGGUUGUUUGAACCGCAUGGUUCAGACAUAAAAGGUGGCUUCGGCUACCACUUACAGAUGGACCCGCGGCGCAUUAGCUAGUUGGUGAGGUAACGGCUCACCAAGGCGACGAUGCGUAGCCGACCUGAGAGGGUGAUCGGCCACACUGGGACUGAGACACGGCCCAGACUCCUACGGGAGGCAGCAGUAGGGAAUCUUCCGCAAUGGACGAAAGUCUGACGGAGCAACGCCGCGUGAGUGAUGAAGGUUUUCGGAUCGUAAAGCUCUGUUGUUAGGGAAGAACAAGUGCCGUUCAAAUAGGGCGGCACCUUGACGGUACCUAACCAGAAAGCCACGGCUAACUACGUGCCAGCAGCCGCGGUAAUACGUAGGUGGCAAGCGUUGUCCGGAAUUAUUGGGCGUAAAGGGCUCGCAGGCGGUUUCUUAAGUCUGAUGUGAAAGCCCCCGGCUCAACCGGGGAGGGUCAUUGGAAACUGGGGAACUUGAGUGCAGAAGAGGAGAGUGGAAUUCCACGUGUAGCGGUGAAAUGCGUAGAGAUGUGGAGGAACACCAGUGGCGAAGGCGACUCUCUGGUCUGUAACUGACGCUGAGGAGCGAAAGCG